rnacentral:rRNA from 1 species
AACCUCUGCAAUAGGCGAAAGCUUGACAGGGUUACUCUGAGUGAUUUCCGUUAAGGAGAUCUUUUGGCACCUUGGUGCAGAAUAAGGGGUGGCAAGCUGGUGUCAGCCGCCGCGGUAAUACCAGCACCCCGAGUGGUCGGGACGUUUAUUGGGCCUAAAGCAUCCGUAGCCGGUUCUACAAGUCUUCCGUUAAAUCCACCUGCUUAACAGAUGGGCUGCGGAAGAUACUAUAGAGCUAGGAGGCGGGAGAGGCAAGCGGUACUCGAUGGGUAGGGUAAAAAUCCGUUGAUCCAUUGAAGACCACCAGUGGCGAAGGCGGCUUGCCAGAACGCCUCGACGGUGAGGGGUGAAAGCGGGGGGAGCAAACCGGAUUAGAUACCCGGGUAGUCCCAGCUGUAAACGAUGCCCGCUAGGUGGUGAAUUGUCGUGGUGCCGUA